CUACGGGAGGCAGCAGUGGGGAAUAUUGGACAAUGGGCGCAAGCCUGAUCCAGCAAUGCCGCGUGAGUGAAGACGGCCUUCGGGUUGUAAAACUCUUUCGCUAGGGAAGAUAAUGACUGUACCUAGUAAAGAAGUCCCGGCGUAACUCCGUGCCAGCAGCCGCGGUAAUACGGAGGGGACUAGCGUUGUUCGGAAGUACUGGGCGUAAAGAGUUCGUAGGCGGACUGACAAGUUAGAGGUGAAAUCCCAGGGCUCAACCCUGGAACUGCCUUUAAAACUGUCAGUCUAGAGACCGGAAGAGGUUAGGGGAAUACCUAGUGUAGAGGUGAAAUUCGUAGAUAUUAGGUGGAACACCAGUGGCGAAGGCGCCUAACUGGUCCGGUACUGACGCUGAGGAACGAAAGCGUGGGGAGCAAACAGGAUUAGAUACCCCCGUAGUC
rnacentral:rRNA from 1 species